UACGUAGGGUGCGAGCGUUGUCCGGAAUUACUGGGCGUAAAGAGCUCGUAGGUGGUUUGUCGUGUUGUUCGUGAAAACUCACAACUCAAUUGUGGGCGUGCGGGCGAUACGGGCAGACUGGAGUACUGCAGGGGAGACUGGAAUUCCUGGUGUAGCGGUGGAAUGCGCAGAUAUCAGGAGGAACACCGGUGGCGAAGGCGGGUCUCUGGGCAGUAACUGACGCUGAGGAGCGAAAGCGUGGGGAGCGAACAGG
rnacentral:rRNA from 1 species